rnacentral:misc_RNA from 1 species
AAGUCGUAACAAGGUUUCCGUAGGUGAACCUGCGGAAGGAUCAUUACCGAGAGACGGGGUCUAACCGGCCCCAACUCUUCAUCCGUGCCUACAUACCAACGUUGCUUUGGCGAGUCCCGGGCUUGUCUCGGGGAGUUUCACCUCAGCUCUCGCCAAAAGCCUCCACAAAAUCGUUUAUCAGUGUCGUCCGAGUAUACAUACAAUAGUUAAAACCUUCAACAACGGAUCUCUUGGUUCUG